CACACUUCUGAGGAGCCUUAAUGAAGGGAUUUGAGCUGAUUCCCUGCUGCAGUUGAACCAAAGAAUAUAUUAACUCAGACAGCAGCAACACAGACAGCGGGAACUGGAAGGAGCAGACGAGGAUCUGACAAAUGGGAUUUCUCCUGAGCCAAAACCUGACUGUGGGCUUAUCUCAGCCUGAGGUCACCCAGUGGGAGUCAACAGCACACCUGUCUUCAGCUGUUAACACCACCAUCAUCGUGCUGGGCGUGUUGACCUUUGCCCUCCAGCUGUGUUUGGUUCUGUUCUUCAUGCUGAGAUGUUGGAGAUUAGACAACAGAGUACGAGAGGCUCUCAAACAACCCGAGACUCUAAAACUCUUUGCACCUUCUUCCUGCCACAUAGACAUUUAUAAAAAGGCAAACUAUACACUAUCUGAUAAUGCUGCUGCUGCUUCAUCACCUGUGAUGUCUGCAUCAUGUGGACAAUAUGAACCAAUCACACACUCUCUGUUUGGACCUUCCAUACCCUGGGACCUCGUUCAGCGCUGACAGGCUCCUGACCAAACAUAAAUCAAAAUGUGGCUUUUUAAGGCUCAUGAUCAAAAUAAUGAUGAAUCCUUUUUACAAUGUAAUGAUAUACCAUGAAAAAAUGUGUCUGCAUUAAACUGCAGUUAUUACUGUUUUUAAUUUUUUUAGAAUCCUUAUAAACGUGUUCAU